rnacentral:rRNA from 1 species
ACGAGUGGCGGACGGGUGAGUAAUGUCUGGGAAACUGCCCGAUGGAGGGGGAUAACUACUGGAAACGGUAGCUAAUACCGCAUAACGUCGCAAGACCAAAGAGGGGACCUUCGGGCCCCUUGCCCUCGGAUGUGCCCAGAUGGGAUUAGCUAGUAGGUGGGGUAACGGCUCACCUAGGCGACGAUCCCUAGCUGGUCUGAGAGGAUGACCAGCCACACUGGAACUGAGACACGGUCCAG